UACGAAGGGUGCAAGCGUUACUCGGAAUUACUGGGCGUAAAGCGUGCGUAGGUGGUUCGUUAAGUCUGUCGUGAAAGCCCCGGGCUCAACCUGGGAAUGGCGAUGGAUACUGGCGAGCUAGAGUGCGGUAGAGGAGAGUGGAAUUCCCGGUGUAGCAGUGAAAUGCGUAGAUAUCAGGAAGAACACCAAUGGCGAAAGCAGCUCUCUGGGACGGUACUGACGCUGAGACGCGAAAGCGUGGGGAGCGAACAGG
rnacentral:rRNA from 1 species